rnacentral:rRNA from 1 species
AAAGAUUAAGCCAUGCAUGUCUAAGUAUAAGCAAUUAUACAGCGAAACUGCGAAUGGCUCAUUAAAUCAGUUAUCGUUUAUUUGAUAGUACCUUACUACAUGGAUAACCGUGGUAAUUCUAGAGCUAAUACAUGCUGAAAAUCCCGACUUCGGAAGGGAUGUAUUUAUUAGAUUAAAAACCAAUGCCCUUCGGGGCUCCUUGGUGAUUCAUAAUAACUUCUCGAAUCGCACGGCCUUGCGCCGGCGAUGGUUCAUUCAAAUUUCUGCCCUAUCAACUUUCGACGGCUGGGUCUUGGCCAGCCAUGGUGA